rnacentral:rRNA from 1 species
AUUGAACGCUGGCGGCGUGCUUAACACAUGCAAGUCGAGCGGUAGCAGGCGUAGCAAUACGUGCUGACGAGCGGCGAACGGGUGAGUAAUGCUUCGGAAUCUUCCUAGUAGUGGGGAAUAACCUGGGGAAACUCAGGCUAAUACCGCAUACGACCUACGGGUGAAAGCAGGGGAUCGCAAGACCUUGCGCUAUUAGAUGAGCCGAAGUCGGAUUAGCUAGUUGGUGAGGUAAAGGCUCACCAAGGCGACGAUCCGUAGCUGGUCUGAGAGGACGACCAGCCACACUGGGACUGAGACACGGCCCAGACUCCUACGGGAGGCAGCAGUGGGGAAUAUUGGACAAUGGGGGCAACCCUGAUCCAGCGACGCCGCGUGUGUGAAGAAGGCCUGCGGGUUGUAAAGCACUUUUAGUGGGGACAAAAAGCCAAGGGUUAAUACCCUUUGGUCUUGAUUUAACCCAAAGAAAAAGCACCGGCUAACUCUGUGCCAGCCGCCGCCGUAA